rnacentral:rRNA from 3 species
CUGGAGGUAUCAGAAGUGCGAAUGCUGACAUAAGUAACGAUAAAGCGGGUGAAAAGCCCGCUCGCCGGAAGACCAAGGGUUCCUGUCCAACGUUAAUCGGGGCAGGGUGAGUCGACCCCUAAGGCGAGGCCGAAAGGCGUAGUCGAUGGGAAACGGGUUAAUAUUCCCGUACUUGGUGUUACUGCGAAGGGGGGACGGAGAAGGCUAUGUUGGCCGGGCGACGGUUGUCCCGGUUUAAGCGUGUAGGUGUGUGUUCCAGGUAAAUCCGGUUCACUUUAACACUGAGGCGUGACGACGAGGCACUACGGUGCUGAAGCAACAAAUGCCCUGCUUCCAGGAAAAGCCUCUAAGCAUCAGGUAACAUCAAAUCGUACCCCAAACCGACACAGGUGGUCAGGUAGAGAAUACCAAGGCGCUUGAGAGAACUCGGGUGAAGGAACUAGGCAAAAUGGUGCCGUAACUUCGGGAGAAGGCACGCUGACACGUAGGUGAAGUGAUUUACUCAUGGAGCUGAAGUCAGUCGAAGAUACCAGCUGGCUGCAACUGUUUAUUAAAAACACAGCACUGUGCAAACACGAAAGUGGACGUAUACGGUGUGACGCCUGCCCGGUGCCGGAAGGUUAAUUGAUGGGGUCAGCGCAAGCGAAGCUCCUGAUCGAAGCCCCGGUAAACGGCGGCCGUAACUAUAACGGUCCUAAGGUAGCGAAAUUCCUUGUCGGGUAAGUUCCGACCUGCACGAAUGGCGUAAUGAUGGCCAGGCUGUCUCCACCCGAGACUCAGUGAAAUUGAACUCGCUGUGAAGAUGCAGUGUACCCGCGGCAAGACGGAAAGACCCCGUGAACCUUUACUAUAGCUUGACACUGAACAUUGAGCCUUGAUGUGUAGGAUAGGUGGG